AUUAUGUGAAAGCAUUCUGCAUCAACCCUCUGUCUACCCAUACCAAACCGUUGUUCCUUCGGCGGGCUCGCCCGCCGGCUGGAACCCCCAUAAACUCUUGCAUCCCAGCAUUGAAAAAUCUCCGAUAACCACAAAUUUUAUCACAACUUUCAACAAUGGAUCUCUUGGUUCUGGCAUCGAUGAAGAACGCAGCGAAAUGCGAAAAGUAGUGUGAAUUGCAGAAUUCCGUGAAUCAUCGAAUCUUUGAACGCACAUUGCGCCCCUUGGUAUUCCUUGGGGCAUGCCUGUUCGAGCGUCAUUUCAAACCCUCAAGCCCAGCUUGGUGUUGGGUGUUUGUCCCCGCCCCCCUCGGGGUGGGGACUCGCCCCAAAGUCAUUGGCGGCCCGUCGUGCCGGCUUCUUGCGCAGCACAUUUGCGCCUCUCGAAGCCCCGGUGGAUGCGGCAUCCAGCGAAGCCCAUUUUUCUUGUUUGACCUCGGAUCAGGUAGGGAUACCCGCUGAACUUAAGCAUAUCAAUAAGCGGAGGAAAAGAAACCAACAGGGAUUGCCUCAGUAACGGCGAGUGAAGCGGCAACAGCUCAAAUUUGAAAUCUGGCUCCCUCUGGGGGUCCGAGUUGUAAUUUGCAG
rnacentral:rRNA from 1 species